AACUGAGUGGCGAACGGGUGAGUAACACGUGGGUGACCUACCUUCGAGUGGGGGAUAACGUCCCGAAAGGGACGCUAAUACCGCAUAACAUCCUUCCUUUGAACAGGGGGAGAUCAAAGCCGGGGAUCGUAAGACCUGGCGCUUGAUGAGGGGCCCGCGUCUGAUUAGCUAGUUGGUGAGGUAACGGCUCACCAAGGCGACGAUCAGUAUCCGGCCUGAGAGGGCGGACGGACACACUGGGACUGAGACACGGCCCAGACUCCUACGGGGGGCAGCAGUGGGGAAUUGUUCACAAUGGGCGCAAGCCUGAUGACGCAACGCCGCGUGGAGGAUGAAGGCCUUCGGAUUGUAAACUCCUGUUGCUCGGGACGAAAUGCUCCAACCUAAUACGUUGGAGUUUGACGGUACCGAGUGAGGAAGCCCCGGCUAACUCUGUGCCAGCAGCCGCGGUAAUACAGAGGGGGCAAGCGUUGUUCGGAAUUACUGGGCGUAAAGGGCGCGUAGGCGGCCUGUUAAGUCGAACGUGAAAUCCCCGGGCUCAACCCGGGAACUGCGUCCGAAACUGGCAGGCUCGAAUUCGGGAGAGGGAUGCGGAAUUCCAGGUGUAGCGGUGAAAUGCGUAGAUAUCUGGAGGAACAUCGGUGGCGAAGGCGGCAUCCUGGACCGAUAUUGACGCUGAGGCGCGAAAGCCAGGGGAGCAAACGGGAUUAGAUACCCCGGUAGUCCUGGCC
rnacentral:rRNA from 1 species